UACAGCUUGUGAUUCAGCUGGGAGCUCAGAGAAUUCGACCGUGUAGGUAGGAUUUAAGCCUACCUGGUCAAUACCUGUGGAGGAGGGGGAACUGCGCAGGCGCGAGUGACGUCAGCGUCGAGCGCGCACUUUAAAAGGCAGGACUUCUUUUCAGAGCGGGCAGCGGAGUCCGUGGAAGCAGAGUCCUGGGCUUUGGCUAAGUGGGUUUCGGUGUAAGGGGACUUCGGUAAGCUUGUGUGAUUGCUCGCUGAGGGGAAGAAGGAACCUGAAGGCAGAGGGGAAGAAGCUGUCUCAAAAUGCUGAGUGUGUGUCUUCAGGCUCCUUUACCUCCUCGAGCAGCAGUGAGAAGAAGGUACAUCCUUGAUGAUGAAGCUCUUUCAUGACGAAUGCCAAUUUCUGGAGACAGCCACGAAACAAAGAAGGACCAUGGAAGAAAAAACAACAAAAACCACAAAGAAACCUAAAACAAAUUGCACAAGCAGCAACAGAAAAAUGAAUGAAAACGUAGAACAUAAAGCAUAAAAUCAAAAAGCAUAUUCAGGUUAAAGUUUCCUUUUCCAAUGUAAAAACUAUCCCAUGGACUCUCAACAUCAAUAUCAUUUAAGAAGCUCUAAGUUCCUGGGUCAGCAUCGUGAAGAAUCUGUUCCGGGCCCAACACAUUGAUGCAAUCAUGAAGAAGACUUGCCAGCAGCUCUACUUCAUUAGGAGCUUGUGGAGAUCUGGCGAAGACUGUGAAUUCCUACAAGUGUAUGGUGAAGAGCAUUCUGACUGGUUGCAUCAGCAGCAGGCACCGAGAAGCACCAGUGUGGUCAUCGAUUCACCCAUGCUGUGGUGCUGAGUGAUGGAUAAGUAUUGGGAGGACCGCGGUGGAGACCCCUCCAGCUUUUCUUCAUGUUACUUUCAUUUGUUUUGAGAUAUAGCAUUUCAACAGGCCCAAUGGCCCAACGAGCCCAUACUGCACAAUUACACCCAUGUGACCAAUUAACCUACGAACUGGUACAUCUUUGGACUGUGGAAACCCAUCCAAUCACAGGGAGAACGUACAAACUCUUUACAGACAGUAGCAGGAAUUGAACCCAGGUUGCUGGUGCUGAAGUGGCUUUACGUAACCAAGCUGCCCCAAGGUAUCAGGGGAUCGUUCACCAUUAUGGAAUGAGAACUGAUGAGGCUUUGACUAACUCUGCUCAUAGAACAAACUGGCAGUGUUUGUAAGUGUGAACCACACCCUCAAGGGUUCCUCGCAUAAAUGUUUAGCUGUUUCUGUUCUUCUAUUGGAAGGAAUGGCCUUUUCAGCCGGCUCUUAAAUCACUUCUAAAGUGCUGAAAUGUAGCUUCAGAGAGCAGUAUUAACUCUGCCUGGUAAAGAUCCACUCAGAUUUUGAGCUGUAUUUAUUUAUCAGAGGUAAACAUACAGCGAAAUGCGUCUUUGCAUGAACGAUCAACACACACGAGAUUGAGCUUGAGGAAGCCACAAGUGUUGCCACACAUUCCGA